ensembl:miRNA
UAUGUCAGCAGUGCUCUAGCAGCACGUAAAUACUGGAGUUUAGGAUUGCCUAGCUGCUCUCCAGUAUUGCGUUGCUGCUUUAGUGAGGCUGGA